CCACGGGAGGCAGCAGUGGGGGAUAUUGCACAAUGGGGGAAACCCUGAUGCAGCAACGCCGCGUGCAGGAAGAAGGUCUUCGGAUUGUAAACUUUUGUCUUGCGGGACGAAUAAUGACGGUACCGCAGGAGGAAGCCACGGCUAACUACGUGCCAGCAGCCGCGGUAAUACGUAGGUGGCGAGCGUUGUCCGGAAUUACUGGGUGUAAAGGGUGCGUAGGCGGAUUUGCAAGUCAGGUGUGAAAACUAUCGGCUUAACCGGUAGCCUGCACUUGAAACUGUAAGCCUUGAGUGGUGAAGAGGUAAGCGGAAUUCCUAGUGUAGCGGUGAAAUGCGUAGAUAUUAGGAGGAACACCAGUGGCGAAGGCGGCUUUCUAGGCUGUUUCUGACGCUGAGGCCCUAAAGUGUGGGGAGCGAACA
rnacentral:rRNA from 1 species